GAGAGUCGUUUGUAAGAAAACGUAUGAAGCAGGCUAUAUUCGGCUGCCUUUUUUUCUUUCUCACCAACAGAAAAUUCUAGGGAAUUUUGAGGAACGACUUUUUGAAUCUGUUGUUUGAGAUUUGAUGAAGAGGGGGACAACAAGUCGUCAAGUUGAAAACUGUCGUCAUUGCUUGAGGGCGAAAGUAUCAAGUUUGAAAAUUCUGGUAAAGAGUCUACCCUAGUGUCUACCCUAGUGUCUAACGCCGUGGAUGGAGUCAUGUCGGUUUGCGAUAUAUCAACCUCUCUUUCAUUCACUGCAUUCAGCGGUUGAAGUUCGAGUUCAUGUAUUGAAGCUUCAGCAUCAGAAUUCGCCGUUUCCAAUAAAUUAAAGUCGUUAUAGCAAAUAGAAUCACUUGGUCUAAAACCUUGAUCGCCCCAAGUAGUAAAUAAUGUGGUGUCCGUAUUUUCGCAAUUGGCUUCACCUCCAAAGUUAAACGUUUCUUUACUCAACGCAAUAUUCUCAAAAUUGGAGUGAUUCAAAAAGAAGCUUGGUGUCCAAUUGAUAGCAAAUGAAAACAACGCCUGAAAGAUCAACUGUUCGAGAACGAAUGACUUGAUUUUAGGACGAACGACAAUGUCCUC
rnacentral:misc_RNA from 1 species